AACAUCAAAUCCAGUGGUCGACAAUGAAGCAAGUGAGGAACAAAUUGAAGAUGGUAAAAUAGUCCAACUCGAGACUACAGAGACAAAAAAAGACGAUAACAAAUUUGAUAAGAGUAAAGCGUGCUGCAGUUACAGCAAUCUCUGCAGCGGCAGUAAAGGCAAAACUUCUGGCAAACCCGGAAGAAGACCAAAUCCGACAACUUGC